rnacentral:lncRNA from 1 species
GGAGACCGUUCCCAAAACUCGCCAGGCCCGGGUUCCAGGGCCGAGACGGAGCGCGAGCGCCGGUUACCUCGAAAGCACGCGGCCCGUCCGCAAACCUUACCGGUCAGGGCCUCCGCCCCGCACGCUACGCCGCGCCCCGAACCUCCGCGGCCACCACCACUGCCUCUCAGCGUAGACCGGCUACACCUUCUCUAAGCGGAGAGCCGGCGGUGCGUCACUUCCGCCCCAGGGAGGCUCGCUUCCGCCUCUGCUGCUGCGCAUGCUCUGCGGCGACACGCCCCACUCGCUAGCUGUAAAGAGUCCUUUAGUGGUUUCCCUGACAGCUUUUUCCUCUGUGGCUUUUGGUCAGUGAUGUAGUCACCUCAAAACACAGUCCGUUUGAAACAAAUUAACUGACUUACCAGCGAAAUGGGAAGGAUCGCUCAGAGGCCAGGUGACCUGGGUCUUAAAUAUCAGUCUAAGCUAAUACAUGUUUCAAUAUAUACAGAAGCCCCAAGAACUGUCAUAGCUAUCACGAAUUGAACCAUCAUAUUCCCGUGUUGCUAUGAAACUAAUGACAUUUACCGUAUCACCAGCGAAGAAAGCAUAACAUUAAACAGAACAAUAAUAU